GGCGCACGGGUGAGUAACACGUGGAUAAUCUGCCCUUCGAUGGGGGACAACAGUUCGAAAGGACUGCUAAUACCGCAUACGUCACCGGGGACUGCGGUCCUUGGUGGGAAAGCUGGCUUCGGCUGGCGUCGAAGGAGGAGUCCGCGUCGCAUCAGCUAGUUGGUGGGGUAAUGGCCUACCAAGGCGAAGACGCGUAGCUGGUCUGAGAGGAUGAUCAGCCACACUGGGACUGAGACACGGCCCAGACUCCUACGGGAGGCAGCAGUGGGGAAUAUUGGACAAUGGGCGAAGGCCUGAUCCAGCCACGCCGCGUGAGUGAUGAAGGCCUUCGGGUCGUAAAGCUCUGUGGGGAGGGACGAAACCUCGGUCGUUAAUAGCGGCCGGGCUGACGGUACCUCCUUAGCAGGCACCGGCUAACUCCGUGCCAGCAGCCGCGGUAAUACGGAGGGUGCAAACGUUGCUCGGAAUCAUUGGGCGUAAAGCGCACGUA
rnacentral:rRNA from 1 species